GCCUAGCCCAGUGCAGGGCUCACAGCUCAGCACGGAGCCUCCACAUUCCUGGUGGGACCGAUGCUGUGCAGCAUCCUCAGAAACCGUCCCUCCCUCGCCGUGACACCUCUCGCCCUCCCAGAUCCUGAAAUCAGGAGGCUGCUUUUUCUGGAACCACAGAGCUCUUCUGCCUUCGGGGCUGAAAGGAGACACCUGCUAGCAGAGAGAGGUACCAACCGGUAGACAUCAACAAUCCCAGGGACAUGUGAACCGACAGUGUCGGGGGGCGCUGGCAGACGGGAAGCUGGUGGGACUGUCACUUGAAUGUCUGGGUGACCCAAGCAAGUCAUCCCCCUCCUCUAGGUCGCUGUCUUUCCUCAGGUCUCUUCUGGGCAUCUUCAGAGCAGCCAGGACCCCCACCCCCACCCCACCUGAGCUAGGCUGGCAGAGUGGGGCGAGGUGAGGAUAGGCUGGCAGAGUGGGGUGAGUGAGGAGGAGAGCAGUCAUUCACAUUCAUCUAAAUCCCCUUUCAUUCAAGAAACACCAACUGCCCCUAAAACGGGUAUUUGUGGCAAAGACUGCUCAUCACCCACCCAAUACCCACUCUCCCUUUCUUUCUAACAGAAUACAGAUAUUUUCUCAGAUGGGAAUGUGCCCAUCUAAAAAACCCUAUUUCUCAGCCUGCCUUGAAGCUAAGAAUGGCCAGUAAGAUGUAAGCAGAAGUCACUGCAGGGUGUUUCUGGGAAAGCUCCUUAAAGACAGCAGACUCAGCCGACAGGCCUGCCUUUUAAAGGUUCCUGCUGUCUUCCUUCCUGGAAUGUCUCAUGAUGGCUGAGCCCCAUCAGCCUUUUGGUGACCUUGAGGCAAAAUGUCAAAAGGCAGGGUUCCCAACCUUUGCUGCACACUGGAAUCACGUAGGGACUUUUUUUUUUAAUGCAGAUGACUGGUUUCCACCCCCUAGACAUUCUGAUUUAAUGGGUAUGUUGUGCAACCUGGGCUUUUUUUUUUUGAGAUGGAGUUUCACUCUCGUUGCUCAGGCUGGAGUGCAGUGGCGUGAUCUCGGCUCACUACAACCUCGGCCUCCCUGAUUCAAGCGAUUCUCCUGCCUCAGCCUCCCGAGUAGCUGGGAUUACAGGUGUCCGCCACCACACCUGGCUAAUUUUUUUAUUUUUAGUAGAGACGGGGUUUCACCAUGUUGCCCAGGCUGGUCUCAAACUCCUGACCUCAGGAGAUCCACCCGCCUUGGCCUCCCAAAGUGUUGGGAUUACAGGUGUGAGUCACUGAGCCUAGCCAGCAUCAGGACUUUUUAAACCUUCCAGGUUAUUCUAACAUGCAGCCAAGUUUGAGAACCACCACCAUGAGAAGAGCAGAGCACGAAGAUGAAAGGAGCCUUGAGAACCUACCUUGAGACUUGAGAAAGUCAUCAUUUGUUUAAGCCUUUCUGGUCAGGUCUUUCUUUCUAGCAAACAGGCCUGGGGGGUCCUUAUGCUGCUCCCUUGGGCCAACCCAUCUGCCACAGCACAGGCUGGGGAACAAAAAUCUGCCAGGGAAUGCCUUCAGAAACCUCACAUUUGGGGAAGUAGACAGGCACUGGACUUUGCAUUGGGCAGUCUUGAGUUCGAACCCUGACUCCACCACCGCCUAACUGUAGGGCCCUGGGCAAGUC
rnacentral:lncRNA from 1 species